rnacentral:rRNA from 1 species
UACGUAGGGCGCAAGCGUUAUCCGGAAUUAUUGGGCCUAAAGCAUCCGUAGCCGGUUCUACAAGUCUUCCGUUAAAUCCAGCUGCUUAACAGAUGGGCUGCGGAAGAUACUAUGGAGCUAGGAGGCGGGAGAGGCAAGCGGUACUCGAUGGGUAGGGGUAAAAUCCGUUGAUCCAUUGAAGACCACCAGUGGCGAAGGCGGCUUGCCAGAACGCGCUCGACGGUGAGGGAUGAAAGCUGGGGGAGCAAACCGG